UACGGAGGGUGCGAGCGUUGUCCGGAAUCACUGGGCGUAAAGGGCGCGUAGGCGCCCUGGCAGUCGGUGGUGAAAGCCCGUGGCUCAACUGCGGGUCGGCCACCGAUACUCCAGGGCUCGAGUUUGGUAGAGGCAGAUGGAAUUCCGGGUGUAGCGGUGGAAUGCGUAGAGAUCCGGAAGAACACCGGUGGCGAAGGCGGUCUGCUGGGCCAAGACUGACGCUGAGGCGCGACAGCGUGGGGGAGCAAACAGG
rnacentral:rRNA from 1 species